rnacentral:rRNA from 1 species
GACUACCUCGGAAGAAGUUUUCGGAUGGAUUUUGGGAUAGUUUAGUGGCGGACGGGUGAGUAACACGUGAGCAACCUGCCUUCGAGAGGGGAAUAACGGCUGGAAACGGUCGCUAAUACCGCAUAAUGUACGGAUGGGACAUCCUGUCUGUACCAAAGAUUUAUCGCUCGAAGAUGGGCUCGCGUCCGAUUAGCUUGUUGGUGAGGUAACGGCCCACCAAGCCGACGAUCGGUAGCCGGACUGAGAGGUUGAACGGCCACAUUGGGACUGAGACACGGCCCAAACUCCUACGGGAGGCAGCAGUGGGGGAUAUUGGACAAUGGGGGGAACCCUGAUCCAGCGACGCCGCGUGAGUGAAGAAGUAUUUCGGUAUGUAAAGCUCUGUCAGCAGGGAAGAAAGAAAUGACGGUACCCAAGGAGGAAGCUCCGGCUAACUACGUGCCAGCAGCCGCGGUAAUACGUAGGGAGCGAGCGUUGUCCGGAAUUACUGGGUGUAAAGGGAGCGUAGGCGGGAUUGCAAGUUGGAUGUGAAAACUGCGGGCUCAACCCGGAGAGUGCAUUCAAAACUGCGAUUCUUGAGUGAAGUAGAGGCAAGCGGAAUUCCUAGUGUAGCGGUGAAAUGCGUAGAUAUUAGGAGGAACACCAGUGGCGAAGGCGGCUUGCUGGGCUUUUACUGACGCUGAGGCUCGAAAGUGUGGGGAGCAAACAGGAUUAGAUACCCUGGUAGUCCACACCGUAAACGAUGAUUACUAGGUGUGGGGGCGUCAAGCCACCGUGCCGGAGUUAACACAAUAAGUAAUCCACCU